CCACGAGCACUUGCAGGACUGCAGCGUGCCAGCUGCAGCCAUCCUACUGCCCUGCUUUCACCUUCUCACUGGCACUUUCUUAUUUUGAGAGUUUGGAGAAUUGGUCUCCUAGCCAAAACGCUGAGUGAUGCCAGUUCCCGGGGGAAGGAAGGAGGGACAGAAGGAAAGGAGAGUGCCUCUGAACGCUGAGGGCAUGAGGCUCACCUCUGCAGCUGUACCCGACUGAACAAUGCCAGCUAAUAGAGGAG